rnacentral:misc_RNA from 1 species
AAUUCUCAACUCCCCUCGGAUUCCAUCUGUAGGGUGAGCUCGGACUUGGAGGUUUCUGCUGGCGUUCGCCGGCUCCUCUUGAAAUCAUUAGCUUUGAGUUGAUCUCGAUGGCUUGACCGGUGUGAUAAACAUCUACGCCGAUUUGUGCCGCCCUGAGCGAUGAAUGUCGGAGACGCUCUGGCUUAUAACUGUCUUCACCAGAGGACGAUGCACUGAAC